rnacentral:rRNA from 1 species
UACGAAGGGGGCUAGCGUUGCUCGGAAUCACUGGGCGUAAAGCGCACGUAGGCGGAUUGUUAAGUCAGGGGUGAAAUCCUGGAGCUCAACUCCAGAACUACCUUUGAUACUGGCGAUCUCGAGUCCGGGAGAGGUGAGUGGAACUGCGAGUGUAGAGGUGAAAUUCGUAGAUAUUCGCAAGAACACCAGUGGCGAAGGCGGCUCACUGGCCCGGUACUGACGCUGAGGUGCGAAAGCGUGGGGAGCAACAGG